GAGCCAGUGGUGCAGUGGUUUGAGUGUUGAACUACAACUCUGAAGAUCAGGGUUCAAUUCCCCACUUGACCA